rnacentral:lncRNA from 1 species
ACUUCCAGGUGAUGGCAGGAAGUAUAUCUCUGACAGGCCCCAGAUGUGUGGCUCUCAGAAACCAUCUACUUCCACACCUACCCUCUGUUACAGGGAAACCCUAUUGGGCCUGGGGCAGUGGUGGUGGUCACCCUUUUUCAUAUGGCCUUGUGUCCAGGAGCAUUGCUCAGCCAAGGAAGACUGUUCCUGGAGUCUGCCAGCGUGUGGCCAUCGCUCUGCCUUGAAGCUCAGCAUCAGCAGCCCUGCCCUCCCCUUCUGUGACCACCUAGGUUGGGGCAGACACCUGCCCUUGGCCCAUCACCAUAGGCAGACUCUCUAGUCCAGGGCCCUGUGGGUUUGGAGUUGCCCACUGAGCUCCCCUCCCUCUGUACCUCACACUCCAGUGCCUGUCCCACCCCUGAACUAACCUGGUGACACUUGGUAGAGUUGUGAUUGGCCAUCUGCAAAUUCCGGGCUCCUCCAGUCUGACAGGAUUGCCACAGUCUGUCUCCAAACUGGGCUCCUGUGUUAUCUGUCUCAGUGAGCAACUCUAGGGAACAUUUGGGAAUUGCCCAGGGCCUUUCCCCUCUUCGCCCUGUGUUCAUUUGUUCACCAGGACCCGAAAGAGCAUCCUCCCUUCUUCCCCAGUCUGGGUGCUGUUGUGUUUGCUCAGGUUCUACAAGGUGCUCUCCUGGCUUAAAGGCACCUUCCUAACAUCUCAAAGCUCCUGCUGUACCAACUACAUACUUACCCAGCCGGAGUUACCUUUCUGGUUGUCCUGUUUGUUUCUACCUUCAAGUUUCCAGAAGGAUGAGGGUGUCGCACAGGCAGCUGAUUGUGCUGUCCCCUUUCCCAGUACCUGUCCUUGCUGCAGGAUAAAGCGUUCCUCAUGCUGUGCUCCUCCCCCUUCCUGCUAGGGAGUUGGCCACAGCACCUGUACUGCUUUGGGUGGUCUCUGCCCUCCAUUACCUAUACAGUCCCUGGGCUGAGCACAUUGCCUCAUAUGUCCCAUUGUGGUCAUCUGAACCUCUCUGGAGGUCUGGCCAAGGGUCCUGCCGUCCCUGGUCACAUGCGCUCCUGCACAGCAUAGGCGGCAGCAUGAGCAGGGACAGGGGGAGUUGGUGGGCACCGGCUGGUCUUCAGGGGUUAGCAGCUGCUUGCUGUCCUAGCCUGCCGGUGUUGAGCCCCGCCCCUUCUUUCUCCCCCUCCGGAUGAGCACCUGCUCUUCCUGCCACUUUUGUACCAGCAGAGACGCAUUUCCCAAGUGUGUUGGCUCAGUCUCAGUCUCCCCUGUGCUCUGUGCAAAUUGUGUUAACACUAAUCCCACAGGAUUCCCUGCCCCAGAGCCAGACAAGCUAUAGUUUAGUGAGUUUGCGACAGGCUGUCUAGUGUGAUUCCAAACACACAGUGGCAUACCAAGGCCUCUGGAGAAGUCCCUCAGGAGAGGACUGCUCAUCAGUCUCCAGUUGGGUGACUGGCAGUCACCUUGCUUGGUGUUACCUCAGAUACUGAGUUCUCUGAAUACACUUCUGCAGACUGACCUCACAUGUCAUUAGCAAAGUCCUUCCCCACUGUUAUCACCGAUAGCUGUCCUGUCCUUGAGGUGGUCCCAGCACCCAUCUUCCCCCAUGCCAGGACCCCUGCACCAGAGGGCAGCAGCUGCUGCAGGCCCAGGCUCUAGGGUCUUCCUGUGGCCAAGGAGUGUGUGGUAGGCAGCUUUGCAUCACUGUGACCAGAAGACCCGACAAGCAGCUUAGAGGAGCUUUCAGAGGUUCAGCCCACAGACCAAUCCAUGAACGUCCAGGAACCUGACUCAGUUGCCGUGGCCUGAGGUGAGGCAGAACAUCACGGUGGCCGGGUGUCUGCUCUGUGUGUGGCAGCCGGGAAGCAGGGAGAGAAAGCUCAGAACAGAGCAGUCCUGAGGCUUGCCCCCUAUGACCCACUUCCUCCAGCCGCACCCCACCUGUCCAUAGUUCUCACCCAGUUGCCCAUUCAAAUCUAUCAAAUGGCACCACUGACGAGGUUACAACUCUAAUCAUUGCCUAAAGCCCCACCUUUGAGUUUAUCUGCAUUGAGGACUGUGCUUCCAAAGCAUGAGUUUUUGGGGGACAUUUCUAGAUCUAAACCAUAAUAAGGUAUAGAUGCUACUGUUACUGAAAGAUUACUCCUUGUCCCUGAUGCCAAUCCAAUGAGGACACAAUUUUGAAAAAAACUUUAUUAGCAAAGGAGAAGCACUGGGAACUCCUAUCCCAGAAGCUGGGAUUGUGCCCAUCAAGGGGAACCGGGGAUUUUUAAAGAGGGGAUUCAAAGGCUACACCCCACAUGUCCUCCGUUGGAGUUGUAAAUCAUUUGUUAAUUUGGGAGAGAAUCAUUUCUGAGAUCUUGAGGUGCCAUCCCCAAAUCUGGAUUACCUGAUUUCUAUGGUGGGUGCACACUGAAGGACAGAUGCUCUGCCUAAAAUGGGGAAGAAAGUAAUCCUGAUUCCCCUGAGAUUAGGGAGGAGGAGAGAGAGAGAGGAAGAGAAAGAAAUGUGUCCAUUUUAAAAAUAAGUUGCAGUGGCAAAGCAGCAAGGGCUGUGUAAGCAUAACUUGGACCCCUGUUACACUACCAUUUUACCUUGGCUUAGGGACGUUUGUCUCCCAGGCCCACAGUUCCAAG